rnacentral:rRNA from 1 species
UUCUGGCUACAGAAUUUCUUGACGACCAUAGAGCAUUGGAACCACCUGAUCCCAUCCCGAACUCAGUAGUGAAACGAUGCAUCGCCGAUGGUAGUGUGGGGUUUCCCCAUGUGAGAGUAGGUCAUCGUCAAGA